AACCCCCAGCCUAGCUGGGGGUUUUGUCCAUUGAACCAAUCAUGAAGAAAAAACAAAAAACCCUCUCGAAUGAGAGG
rnacentral:sRNA from 1 species